rnacentral:rRNA from 1 species
GACGAACGCUGGCGGCGUGCUUAACACAUGCAAGUCGAACGGAAAGUCCCUGCUUUUGUGGGGUGCUCGAGUUGCGAACGGGUGAGUAACACGUGAGUUACCUGCCCUUGACUUUGGGAUAACUUCAGGAAACUUGGGCUAAUACCGGAUAGGAGCUCCUGCUUCAUGGUGGGGGUUGGAAAGUUUCGGCGGUUGGUGAUGUACUCGCGUCUUAUCAGCUUGUUGGUGGGGUAGUGGCUUACCAAGGCCUUGACGGGUAGCCGGCCUGAGAGGGUGACCGGCCAAAUUGGGACUGAGAUGCGGCCCAGACUCGUACGGGAGGCAGCAGUGGGGAAUAUUGCACAAUGGGCGGAAGCCUGAUGCAGCAACGCCGCGUGCGGGAUGACGGCCUUCGGGUUGUAAACCGCUUUCGCCUGUGACGAAGCGUGAGUGACGGUAAUGGGUAAAGAAGCACCGGCUAACUACGUG